rnacentral:rRNA from 1 species
AUUGAACGCUGGCGGCAUGCCUUACACAUGCAAGUCGAACGGCAGCACGGGAGCAAUCCUGGUGGCGAGUGGCGAACGGGUGAGUAAUAUAUCGGAACGUGCCCAGUCGUGGGGAUAACGUAGCGAAAGCUACGCUAAUACCGCAUACGAUCUAUGGAUGAAAGCGGGGGAUCGCAAGACCUCGCGCGAUUGGAGCGGCCGAUAUCAGAUUAGGUAGUUGGUGNGGUAAAGGCUCACCAAGCCGACGAUCUGUAGCUGGUCUGAGAGGACGACCAGCCACACUGGACUGAGACACGGCCCAGACUCCUACGGAGGCAGCAGUGGGGAAUUUUUGGGACAAUGGCGCAAGCCUGAUCCAGCAAUGCCGCGUGCAGGAUGAAGGCCUUCGGUU